UAUCCCAGUGAGGUAUGGAGAGCUGGCUUUGGGAGUUCGUAUAGGGAGACUGGCUAAAGGGCAGGGAGUCAAGAAGCCUGCCCUUCCAGGGCUUGGGGGGGUGGUACAUGUGGGUGGGAGAGGGUUAAUAGGACUCAGCUUGUAGAUCUCCUGUGUGGAUGAGCUGUCAGUCCACUGCUCGCGUCCUCCAGCAUCCUAUCGAACUGGCAGCAUCGUGCAGAACCCCAUUGCUUAGACAGCAUCUCAUUCAACGCCAGCAUCCUUUUCACCGCAUCGUACAUUCAUCGAGCAUCCCUCAUACAUAGCAUCUUUUCUCUACAUUUACGUACUCCAUUCUUAUCUAUGUCAACAUCUCUCAGACCGCAUUUUACACACAGCCAUCACUGCACACCACACACCAACACGCAGCUCACUGCAUUUACCACACUGCCAAUAGCACUUCCAUUUCCCGAUUAUUCUAGCACACGAUGCCCUAGAAGAGAAUUAGGAACUGCAUGGUCCUCGCUGCACAUGUAAUGCUUUUCUCCUGGUAUACUGCCAGCACCAAACUCAUGGCAUGCAAAUGAGCUAACUCAUUCAUCUCUGCUCGGUCUAUGUCUGACAGCUCUUCCAGACCAUUCUUACUACCCCAAACAAUGAUGUUGACAGCCCUCUUGUAUUUCCCUAUCCCUAUGCAGUGCUGGAUUCUCUCUCACAAUAUUUACAUAAUUCUCUGUUUUGUCAUGGCCAUGCACUGUCAGCAUUUUACUACCAACAUCUUAAAGCACUCUCAAGUCAUUGCUUCAUUUUUGACCUGUCAGUACUCUUCCAACACCUCACCUAUAUCCUCAAUGCAAUCUCAGCAUCUCACUGCCCCACCCCCACCGCACACACUGCACUGUGCAAUCCCAACAUGUCACAAGAAUUCCAGUACCCCACAGCACCUUACUGCUCUGUUUCUCUGCAUUCACAGCACCUUCUUACACACCUUGCAUCUCGCCUUUGUAACAUGACAUCUGACUGCAUUGGCAACAUCUCACUUUAUUCCCAACAUCUGACAACACCUGCUUCCUCAGCACCUUGGUCUUCUCCUCUGGACUUUUAUCUUACAACUGUCUUCUCUGAACAGGAGCCAUGGAGCAGAACUAUCUGACCCUGGAGAUAGACCUCGAGGAGGGUCACAGCAUCCUCUGCUAAGAUCUCAUCUAAUUCCUUAUGGAUGCAGGUCAUUCUUGCCAAUACCACAAGCACUCCUUCUGUUCUGCUGUUUUCGCCUUCAUCCAGCUUGAAAUAAUGCCAGACUGGAAUUUGUAGGAUCGGUUGUUUUUUCUCAGAGCAUCUUCUUUUUUAUAAGCCACUCCAUAACAGAGGAUGAGUGGUAAAAUGAAGGAGGAACUUGUAUCUGCGCUGCUGAAGUCCACACUAUCUCCAAGUUUAAUGGAUGUUCUUAGAUGUUCGUGGCUGCUACAGCUACUGCUAAUAUUGUUAUUGCGCUCUCGUUCUGUCUCCCGGAGUUAAAUGGGAUCUCAUAAGUUAUUCUUAUGCUGUUGAGUGGGGGGUAACUAAAAGGCGUGAAUAAAAAGCAAAAUAGAUCAUGCAGAGCCCACACAAUAGAUAUCAAUGCACUCUGGACAAUGAAUGGGAACCUCUCUUAGGAUUUCUACACACGUCUGCAACAGCUUGGACUGAAUCUGACCGGCACGAUUGAAUCCCAGACAUCUCUUGUGUGAACCGUGAGAAAAUAAGUGCAAGACAUCAAAUUAUUACAACUAAGUUAACAGAGGGGCCUGUCUCCCUCCCCCCUCAGAGAUUCUCCCUAUGUACCAGACUGGGUACCAGCUCACUCAUCUCCAGCCUAUACAAAGGAUAUGUCUAAGCCUGGAACACACAGACAAGCAUGUGCUUGGACUUUUAUCAUCUUCCAAGAAAUCGUUUUCUGCUGAUAUUUUUUUAAUGGUCCUUAUCCACAACAACAAAUGAUAGCACCUUGAAGCCUGUGUUUGCAAGUUAAGAGCACAGGGACAUUUCCUGAUCCACAUACGAUGAACACCUACCUUGAUGUAACAGCAACGGGUCAGUUCUUUGCUGAACUGCUGGAAAGAAAUAAAGAUACCACAAAAGAAACUGCCAAGAAUUCAACCAAAAUGGCUCCUUCAAUCUACAUAGCUUCAAAUAUAGAGUCACAAUAUAGAAAUAUGAUUUGUGCUAAGGAUUAUUCAGCAAGACUUGAAUGUUGUAUUCAUACUAUGACCAUGAACUGCCAAAUCAUAGAGAUAUUCAGUUAAAGAACAUACACCAGCCAUGAAAGAAGCAAUUCAAAGUAAACAAUGAGACUGAAGUGGUUUAAAAUGAAGUUUAUUGACUAAAAAACAUGGACACACAAGCCCAAUGGAGUAGAAAACACUGAAUGACUGGAUUUCAUUUUUUUUUUUAGAAAACUCCUUUGUGAAGUUUUCAUCACUUUUCAGUUCUUUUACAGGACGAAAAUAUCAAAGCCGAAGCUGAAGAGAAUCUGAUGAACAAUAUUACUGUUGACUGCAGAUAAGAAGGAAUAAGCAUAGAAGACUUAAUGGGCAAGAUCUGCAAUGUGGCGCCUUUGGUCAUCGAUCAUUACAAGUAGCAAAGGUGUAAAAAAAAUUGUGAAAAUUGUCUCACAGCAUUUACCUAUAAAAUUAUAGGCUACCAUCCCUUUAAAAUGACAGAAAACAACACUGCUCGGGCCAAACAGAACUGUGGGCAGCUAUAAUUUUGCUUCAGAAGAUGAGGUUUGGGUUAUGUCUACUAGAUAUGAUUAUAUGAUUAAAUAAAGCAAUGAAUACAAAUGCCUAUUGAGCAAAA